rnacentral:lncRNA from 1 species
UUAAGGGUGAAGGAGAAGGGGUUGAGGGGUACUUGCCCCUGCCCCAGGAAAGGCAGAGAAGGGGUAGAGACAAGGAGAGAAGGGGUUGGGGGGUACUUGCCCCUGCCCCAGGAAAGGCAGAGAAGGGGUAGAGACAAGGAGAGAAGGGGUUGGGGUACUUGCCUCUUCCCCAGAAAAGCAGGACUUGCCGCUAAGGGUGAAGGACCAAGGCAGGCGUCCCUGCGUGGUUUGACACCCUUGAAACGUGGGUGUAUAAUCACAGAGGCGUCUCUGCAAUGAUUAAACACCAAGGGAAAGCUGCC